AUUGAACGCUGGCGGCAGGCCUAACACAUGCAAGUCGAACGGUAACAGGAAACAGCUUGCUGUUUCGCUGACGAGUGGCGGACGGGUGAGUCAUGUCUGUGAAACUGCCUGAUGGCGGGGGAUAACUACUGGAAACGGUAGCUAAUACCGCAUAACGUCGCAAGCCCAAAGAGGGGGACCUUCGGGCCUCUUGCCAUCGGAUUUGCCCAGAUGGGAUUAGCUAGUAGGUGGGGUAACGGCUCACCUAGGCGACGAUCCCUAGCUGGUCUGAGAGGAUGACCAGCCACACUGGAACUGAGACACGGUCCAGACUCCUACGGGAGGCAGCAGUGGGGAAUAUUGCGCAAUGGGCGAAAGCCUGAUGCAGCCAUGCCGCGUGUAUGAAGAAGGCCUUCGGGUUGUAAAGUACUUUUAGCGGGGAGGAAGGGAGUAAAGUUAAUACCUUUACUCAUUGACGUUACCCGCAGAAGAAGCACCGGCUAACUCCGUG
rnacentral:rRNA from 1 species